UACGGAGGGUGCAAGCGUUAUCCGGAUUCACUGGGUUUAAAGGGUGCGUAGGCGGAUAGGGAAGUCCGUGGUGAAAAUCCUGCAGCUUAACUGCAGAACUGCCGUGGAUACUCUCUAUCUUGAAUAUCGUGGAGGUUAGCGGAAUAUGUCAUGUAGCGGUGAAAUGCUUAGAUAUGACAUAGAACACCCAUUGCGAAGGCAGCUAACUACGCGAUCAUUGACGCUGAUGCACGAAAGCGUGGGGAUCAAACAGG
rnacentral:rRNA from 1 species